rnacentral:lncRNA from 1 species
UGCGUGCGGGCGGUUUUUGUUACCGUGAGUAGGGAUGUCAAUGGGUACGUAUACCUAAAAUUUUAUCCGAAUUCGAACCUGAACGUAGCGAAUUUAUCUGAUGCUAAACGAAUAUAAUUUCGGAUAUGGAUAUCAAAAAAAAAAAACCGACAAAUAUGAAUUCAGAUAUAGAUUUUGACUAUACCCGACUCGAAUCCGAACCCGACCCGAAUUUAUUUUACAUUAUAUAUAAUAUGUAUAUAAGAAUUUAAUGUUAUAUUUGAAUUUAUAUUUUAGAAUUUUAGAUUUAACGUAAUAUAUUUUGAAAUAUUGAAAAGAGAAAUAACUGUUUCGGGUUCGGAAUUUGCGUUCGGGUUCGGAUUCGGGUUUCGAAUUUUUGGUCGGGUUCGAGUUUGGAUAUGGAUUUUUAAAUUCCGUCGGGUUCGGGUUUGGGUUUGGAUUUCGGUUUUGGAGUCGGAUUUGGAUUCGGGUUUUUGAAAAUCCGCCUCGAAUCUGACCCGUUGACAUCCCUAAUCGUGAGUAUAU